rnacentral:rRNA from 1 species
UACGUAGGGGGCAAGCGUUAUCCGGAUUUAUUGGGCGUAAAGCGAGCGCAGGUGGUUUAUUAAGUCUGGUGUAAAAGGCAGUGGCUCAACCAUUGUAUGCAUUGGAAACUGGUAGACUUGAGUGCAGGAGAGGAGAGUGGAGUUCCAUGUGUAGCGGUGAAAUGCGUAGAUAUAUGGAGGAACACCGGUGGCGAAAGCGGCUCUCUGGCCUGUAACUGACACUGAGGCUCGAAAGCGUGGGGAGCAAACAGG